rnacentral:rRNA from 1 species
UUAUAUGCUUGUCUCAAAGAUUAAGCCAUGCAUGUCUCAGUGCAAGCCACAUUAAGGUGAAACCGCGAAUGGCUCAUUACAUCAGUUAUGGUUCCUUAGAUCGUACCCACAUUACUUGGAUAACUGUGGUAAUUCUAGAGCUAAUACAUGCAAAUAGAGUUCCGACCAGAGAUGGGAGGAAUGCUUUUAUUAGAUCAAAACCAAUCGGUGGCGGGCUUGCCUUGCUUACCGUUUGACUUGGUGACUCUGAAUAACUUUGUGCUGAUCGCACGGUCUCGUACCGGCGACGCAUCUUUCAAAUGUCUGCCUUAUCAACUGUCGAUGGUAGUUUCUGCGACUACCAUGGUUGUUACGGGUAACGGGGAAUCAGGGUUCGAUUCCGGAGAGGGAGCCUGAGAAACGGCUACCACAUCCAAGGAAGGCAGCAGGCGCGCAAAUUACCCACUCCCGGCACGGGGAGGUAGUGACGAAAAAUAACGAUACGGGACUCAUCCGAGGCCCCGUAAUCGGAAUGAGUACACUUUAAAUCCUUUAACGAUUAACAAUUGGAGGGAAAGCCUGGUGCCAGCAGCCGCGGUAAUUCCAGCUCCAAUAGCGUAUAUUAAAGUUGUUGCGGUUAAAAAGCUCGUAGUUGAAUCUGUGUCCCACACUGUCGGUUCACCGCUCGCGGUGUUCAACUGGCAUGUUCGUGGGACGUCCUACCGGUGGGCGCAGCCCCUCAAAAGGCGGCCCAACUCAAAAUCCUACCACGGUGCUCUUCACCGAGUGUCGAGGUGGGCCGGUACGUUUACUUUGAACAAAUUAGAGUGCUUAAAGCAGGCUCAUUUGCCUGAAUAUUGUGUGCAUGGAAUAAUGGAAUAGGACCUCGGUUCUAUUUUGUUGGUUUUCGGAACUCCGAGGUAAUGAUUAAUAGGGACAACUGGGGGCAUUCGUAUUGCGACGUUAGAGGUGAAAUUCUUGGAUCGUCGCAAGACGGACAGAAGCGAAAGAAAUGUGUUUUCAUCAAUCAAGAACGAAAGUUAGAGGUUCGAAG